AUUGAACGCUGGCGGCAGGCUUAACACAUGCAAGUCGAGCGGAGUUGUGGUGCUUGCACCAUAACUUAGCGGCGGACGGGUGAGUAAUGCUUAGGAAUCUGCCUAUUAGUGGGGGACAACAUCUCGAAAGGGAUGCUAAUACCGCAUACGUCCUACGGGAGAAAGCAGGGGACCUUUGGGCCUUGCGCUAAUAGAUGAGCCUAAGUCGGAUUAGCUAGUUGGUGGGGUAAAGGCCUACCAAGGCGACGAUCUGUAGCGGGUCUGAGAGGAUGAUCCGCCACACUGGGACUGAGACACGGCCCAGACUCCGACGGGAGGCAGCAGUGGGGAAUAUUGGACAAUGGGGGGAACCCUGAUCCAGCCAUGCCGCGUGUGUGAAGAAGGCCUUUUGGUUGUAAAGCACUUUAAGCGAGGAGGAGGCUACUGGUAUUAAUACUACCGGAUAGUGGACGUUACUCGCAGAAUAAGCACCGGCUAACUCUGUGCCAGCCGCCGCAGUAAUAC
rnacentral:rRNA from 1 species